GGCGGACGGGUGAGUAACGCGUGGGUAACCUGCCGUCAUACAGGGGGAUAACAGCCGGAAACGGCUGCUAAGACCGCAUAAAAUAGAACUGACGCAUGUCAGUUCUAUCAAAUAUUCAUAGGUAUGAGAUGGACCCGCGUCUGAUUAGCUAGUUGGUGGGGUAAUAGCCUACCAAGGCGACGAUCAGUAGCCGGCUUGAGAGAGUGACCGGCCACAUUGGGACUGAGACACGGCCCAAACUCCUACGGGGAGGCAGCAGUGGGGAAAUAUUGCACAAUGGGGGAAAACCCUGAUGCCAGCGACGCCGCGUGAGUGAAAGAAGUAUUUUCGGUAUGUAAAAGCUCUAUCAGCAGGGAAGAAAAUGACGGUACCUGACUAAGAAGCCCCGGCUAACUACGUGCCAGCAGCUGC
rnacentral:rRNA from 1 species